rnacentral:lncRNA from 1 species
CUUUCUAAAAAAGUGAUGCCACGUUCAUGGGAUUAUUUCUUGAAAAUACUUGGCGGCCUCCAUGCUUCUGUUUUCUUUGAGUCAGAGACUUCAGAACCCACUCCUGAGAACAGCGGAGCCAGGCGCUUAGAGGAAGACCAAAUGCUGCCAGGACACGGAUUGUCCAGGGAUUACAUUCCAGCAUCUUAUUAGGCCUUCUGAGCUGCUUUCCAAGGAGGACUAACACGGCAACAAAAGAACCAUUUCUGCACAAAAAUCCUGGAAAGAAAAAGAAGCAAGCCGAGAAUGGAGUCAAAACGCUACCCAGUGCUGACUAAGCCUCUCAAACCCUGUUCUAAGUGGACUGUGGUUUCUAAGUCAGGGAAAUGGAAGAGGCCCCACCCACACAGGGACAGGGCCACGGCCCCCACAGGAUGAAGCAGCAGCGUUUAUUCAAGAUACAACAGUGAGGGAAUCCGGUCACGUUCCCUUCUCCCCAGAGAGGGCGCAUCUUGACAAGUGAUCGAGUAGAAAUCUUUUAAACUCUAAGUUAAGUUCAUAAAAACCACUGGUUUCACUCUGUCUCCCAGGGCCAGGCCUGGCCUCUGAGAUGCACUGGCUUGGGGCGCCCUCAGGUGGCUGCAUGGAAAACCCACAGUCUGAGGCCAGCCUGGGGCUUUCAGACCUGGGCGGGAUCUGCCCAGGCCACCUGUCCUUCUGCUUUGGGCCGCUGUCUCUUGGCAGAUGGCCUGACACCUGGGGGUGGCCCAAGGAUGCCUCAGAAAAUCUUGAUUCCCACUCUACAGAUAGCCUGAUUAGCCAGAGGUUUCCAGGCCAUCUGUCCGCCUCCAGGAGAUGGACUGGGACCUUUAGACAUCGGUGGAGAACAGGAUGCUCUGUCCCUUGCUGUCCGGGGCAGGGACGGCCUCCAGCCGCAAGAAGUACAGCAGCACCUCGACCUGCCCUCGCGGAGUGGGGAAGAGGAGAGUGGCUCAGAGGGGGGCUCACAGCUGCUGGUGGGGAGGUCUUUGGGGCCCAAGUCCCCAAGUCCACCUCAGGUGCUAGAAACCCCUGCUGGUGUCAUGAACCCCUUACAGUGAGACGGGGGUGGGGUGGGGUCCUGACAAGGCAUGACUUGUUGGGUGGGGGGUGGUUAUU